UUGGACAAUGGGCGCAAGCCUGAUCCAGCCAUGCCGCGUGAGUGACGAAGGCCUUAGGGUUGUAAAGCUCUUUUGGCGGGGAAGAUAAUGACGGUACCCGCAGAAUAAGCUCCGGCUAACUUCGUGCCAGCAGCCGCGGUAAUACGAAGGGAGCUAGCGUUGUUCGGAAUCACUGGGCGUAAAGCGCACGUAGGCGGACUUUCAAGUCAGGGGUGAAAUCCCGGGGCUCAACCUCGGAACUGCCUUUGAUACUGUUGGUCUCGAGUCCGGAAGAGGUGAGUGGAAUUCCUAGUGUAGAGGUGAAAUUCGUAGAUAUUAGGAAGAACACCCGUGGCGAAGGCGGCUCACUGGUCCGGUACUGACGCUGAGGUGCGAAAGCGUGGGGAGCAAACA
rnacentral:rRNA from 1 species